rnacentral:lncRNA from 1 species
GUCUUCUCCGAGACCCGCGGCGCUGGGAGCUCCGCGUGCGAACUUGCCCGGGGCGAAAUCUGUUGCCCACCCUGGUCCCACCGUGCGAGCACACCUAGGCAGGUGCGACUAAGGGGCCGGGGGCGUCUCCCCAGCGCUGGAAAACGCUGUGCAGCGCCCUUCCCAGAUUUCUGCGUCCGCGCAACACAAACACACGCAACGCUAUCUCUACAAAAGGGUCAAUAAUAGGUGUUAUCCAGCGACCGAAACCCAGCUUUGGGCCGCGUGGAUAAAUACCUGUCCUCCCUACCAAGUGCACUGUGAGCCUGGAGGUGCUGCUAACGCUGGGAGAAGCGGUAGUGAAAUGAAGCGAGGCGACAGCUUUUACCAGUGUAGGGACAUUUAAAAACGGGAUAGAGAGCACAAGGAGCGUAGACAGUGUGUUAAGGGCAAUAAAGAGCGGGAAGGGAGCCCCGAUUCCUCUUCUGUUUGUUCUCAUGAUAGUCUUUUCCCCUUUAAUUUGAGUUCUAUGUUUUGUAUUGGGCUGAUACUUUUAGUCCUCGGCAAUAGGGUUGUGAGUCCUUUUUUGACUGCUUAGAAUUUUCCCCCUGGGAAUUGCUAGUCCGAUUUGCAAUCUUUCAGAGGGACAAAUGAAGUAACUCCAUAUACUUAGGACUCUGUACACCUACUCAAAUUUGGUCAUCUCGGUAAGUACCCAGGACAAGACGUUGAAGGAGUGAAGGUGUGCCAUUCCAAAAUAUGCCUAAUUGGUAUAUUGAUUAUUUCGAGCGGAAAACAUUGGAGAAAUGGUAGUUUCAGAAAGGGCAAGCUGACCUGCCUCUUCGAUGCAGCAGGCCACAAAGAUUUCUCUGGGAUGGGCAUCCUCUCCCUACCACGGUGAGAAAAUAGCCUUUAUCACCAAAGGCUUGGAA